rnacentral:rRNA from 1 species
AGGACGAACGCUGGCGGCGUGCUUAACACAUGCAAGUCGAGCAGAAAGGCCCUUCGGGGUACUCGAGCGGCGAACGGGUGAGUAACACGUGAGCAACCUGCCCCUGGCUCUGGGAUAGCCUCCGGAAACGGGGAUUAAUACCGGACAUGACCCUUGACCGCAUGGUUGGGGGUGGAAAGUUUUUCGGCCAGGGUGGGCUCGCGGCCUAUCAGCUUGUUGGGGGGGUGACGGCCCACCAAGGCGACGACGGGUAG